rnacentral:rRNA from 1 species
CAGCAGCCGCGGUAAUACGUAGGUGGCAAGCGUUGUCCGGAUUUAUUGGGCGUAAAGCGAGCGCAGGCGGAAUGAUAAGUCUGAUGUGAAAGCCCACGGCUCAACCGUGGAACUGCAUCGGAAACUGUCAUUCUUGAGUGCAGAAGAGGAGAGUGGAAUUCCAUGUGUAGCGGUGGAAUGCGUAGAUAUAUGGAAGAACACCAGUGGCGAAGGCGGCUCUCUGGUCUGCAACUGACGCUGAGGCUCGAAAGCAUGGGUAGCGAACAGGAUUAGAUACCCUGGUAGUCCAUGCCGUAAACGAUGAGCGCUAGGUGUUGGGGACUUUCCGGUUCUCAGUGCCGCAGCAAACGCAUUAAGCGCUCCGCCUGGGGAGUACGACCGCAAGGUUGAAACUCAAAGGAAUUGACGGGGGCCCGCACAAGCGGUGGAGCAUGUGGUUUAAUUCGAAGCAACGCGAAGAACCUUACCAGGUCUUGACAUCCUGUGCUACACCUAGAGAUAGGUGGUUCCCUUCGGGGACGCAGAGACAGGUGGUGCAUGGCUGUCGUCAGCUCGUGUCGUGAGAUGUUGGGUUAAGUCCCGCAACGAGCGCAACCCUUGUCUUUAGUUGCCAUCAUUAAGUUGGGCACUCUAAAGAGACUGCCGGUGACAAACCGGAGGAAGGUGGGGAUGACGUCAAGUCAUCAUGCCCCUUAUGACCUGGGCUACACACGUGCUACAAUGGGCAGUACAACGAGAAGCGAACCCGCGAGGGUAAGCGGAUCUCUUAAAGCUGUUCUCAGUUCGGACUGCAGGCUGCAACUCGCCUGCACGAAGCUGGAAUCGCUAGUAAUCGCGGAUCAGCACGCCGCGGUGAAUACGUUCCCGGGCCUUGUACACACCGCCCGUCACACCA